ensembl:lncRNA
GGGAGUUUGGACUGAACCCUCUCAUCCUCCAUUCCUUUGACUUGUAGCCAGUGGCUAAGAAGCUUGCCUUUGGACCAUUAUAUUUGCAGCAGAGCGGCAGACACCAGGUCCCAAGGCCUUGUAAUUGGGGAAUCAGUGCUCCUAAGUGUUCUGUUGAAGCCCUUUUCAUUAGUGUGAGUCUUAUGGGCCUCUCAUUUCACGUCUGUUUCAACUUCUCUGAUAAAUGACUGCCUGCCUGCCCCCUAGAGGACCCCAAAGCAAAUUUCAGGUCUCAGUAUCCUGAAAUAUAAAAGGAAAAGGCUACACUAUGAUCCCACUAGUGCAAAUAUCCUGUGAUCAUGAAGAUCUCUGUUUUAUAGAUCUGCAUUUAUGUCAAGGGAAAUGGCAUUGUAAG